CGAGCGGUAUUGUUUCUUCGGAAAUGAGAGAGCGGCGUACGGGUGCGGAACACGUGUGCAACCUGCCUUUAUCAGGGGGAUAGCCUUUCGAAAGGAAGAUUAAUACCCCAUAAUAUAUUGAAUGGCAUCAUUUGAUAUUGAAAACUCCGGUGGAUAGAGAUGGGCACGCGCAAGAUUAGAUAGUUGGUAGGGUAACGGCCUACCAAGUCAGUGAUCUUUAGGGGGCCUGAGAGGGUGAUCCCCCACACUGGUACUGAGACACGGACCAGACUCCUACGGGAGGCAGCAGUGAGGAAUAUUGGACAAUGGGUGAGAGCCUGAUCCAGCCAUCCCGCGUGAAGGACGACGGCCCUAUGGGUUGUAAACUUCUUUUGUAUAGGGAUAAACCUAGAUACGUGUAUCUAGCUGAAGGUACUAUACGAAUAAGCACCGGCUAACUCCGUGCCAGCAGCCGCGGUAAUACGGAGGGUGCAAGCGUUAUCCGGAUUUAUUGGGUUUAAAGGGUCCGUAGGCGGAUCUGUAAGUCAGUGGUGAAAUCUCGUAGCUUAACUAUGAAACUGCCAUUGAUACUGCAGGUCUUGAGUAAGGUAGAAGUAGCUGGAAUAAGUAGUGUAGCGGUGAAAUGCAUAGAUAUUACUUAGAACACCAAUUGCGAAGGCAGGUUACUAUGUCUUAACUGACGCUGAUGGACGAAAGCGUGGGGAGCGAACAGGAUUAGAUACCCUGGUAGUCCACGCCGUAAACGAUGCUAACUCGUUUUUGGGUUUUCGGAUUCAGAGACUAAGCGAAAGUGAUAAGUUAGCCACCUGGGGAGUACGUUCGCAAGAAUGAAACUCAAAGGAAUUGACGGGGGCCCGCACAAGCGGUGGAUUAUGUGGUUUAAUUCGAUGAUACGCGAGGAACCUUACCAAGACUUAAAUGGGAAAUGACAGAUUUAGAAAUAGAUCCUUCUUCGGACAUUUUUCAAGGUGCUGCAUGGUUGUCGUCAGCUCGUGCCGUGAGGUGUUAGGUUAAGUCCUGCAACGAGCGCAA
rnacentral:rRNA from 1 species